CGGCCACUGGCUGCCAAUUUUAAACAUCAGGGAUAUGUAUCCACUUAGCCCUGACUUUUGGGAGGGGCCAAGGAGAGAGUGCAAUUUCGUGAAUUGGGCUUGUGGGGUUUAGAGACAGCCAGAGAGCCUUCCUUGUACGGUAGUGCUCUCGCCUGAACGCCACUGCUGCCUUCCUAGACCGGCCAGAGAGUUGGCUUUGCUGCAGAGGUCUUGGUUUGGACUGGCUGAAGAGCUGCCAUUCUAAAUUAAUCUCAGCUUUCAGUCUUUGGGACACAAUUAGCAGGCUUUAAUUUCUGAUUUGGGGGGUUUAUCUGAACUUGAAUAUACAUCAUGGACGACUUUGAACGUCGCAGAGAGCUUAGGAGACAAAAACGGGAGGAGAUGCGCCUGGAAGCAGAGAGGUCUUCAGUCCUGAUCCUGGCUUACUCCAGGCUGCAUCAUCUGACUCCUGUCUGAAACAAUGAAGAGCAGCUGAGCAAAGAGGCGAGACACCCCCCUUCACUGAAGCACCUCCCUCUGUUAUUCCUCCAAAACUGAUGAACAUGCUCUUGAAAAAAACAGCAUGUACUCACUCGUGCCGGCUAGAUUCCUCACUUGAAAACUGGAUGCUUAAAGUGCUUUCUAUUACUUUAUUGGAGAUUGUUUUAGGCCAAAGAAAGGCACAAUCUGUUGAGCUGUUUUUAAAACCAGUAUCUAGGGCAGGAUUUCCAACUGUUAAGAUUUGUGGUCUUCAAUUCCCA